UACGGGGGGGGCAAGCGUUGUUCGGAAUUACUGGGCGUAAAGGGCUCGUAGGUGGCCAACUAAGUCAGACGUGAAAUCCCUCGGCUUAACCGGGGAACUGCGUCUGAUACUGGAUGGCUAGAGUUUGGGAGAGGGAUGCGGAAUUCCAGGUGUAGCGGUGAAAUGCGUAGAUAUCUGGAGGAACACCGGUGGCGAAGGCGGGUCUCUGGGCCGAUAUUGACGCUGAGGAGCGAAAGCGUGGGGAGCGAACAGG
rnacentral:rRNA from 1 species